rnacentral:rRNA from 1 species
CCUACGGGGGGCUGCAGUGGGGAAUAUUGCACAAUGGGCGCAAGCCUGAUGCAGCCAUGCCGCGUGUGUGAAGAAGGCCUUCGGGUUGUAAAGCACUUUCAGCGGGGAGGAAGGCGUUAAGGUUAAUAACCUUGUCGAUUGACGUUACCCGCCGAAGAAGCACCGGCUAACUCCGUGCCAGCAGCCGCGGUAAUACGGAGGGUGCAAGCGUUAAUCGGAAUUACUGGGCGUAAAGCGCACGCAGGCGGUCUGUCAAGUCGGAUGUGAAAUCCCCGGGCUCAACCUGGGAACUGCAUUCGAAACUGGCAGGCUAGAGUCUUGUAGAGGGGGGUAGAAUUCCAGGUGUAGCGGUGAAAUGCGUAGAGAUCUGGAGGAAUACCGGUGGCGAAGGCGGCCCCCUGGACAAGGACUGACGCUCAGGUGCGAAAGCGUGGGGAGCAAACAGGAUUAGAUACCCGUGUAGUC